CCUACGGGAGGCAGCAGUGGGGAAUAUUGCACAAUGGGGGAAACCCUGAUGCAGAGACGCCGCGUGGGUGAAGGAGCGUUUCGGCGCGUAAAGCCCUAUCGGCAGGGAAGAAGGAGGACGGUACCUGACUAAGAAGCCCCGGCUAACUACGUGCCAGCAGCCGCGGUAAUACGGAGGGGGCAAGCGUUAUCCGGAUUUACUGGGUGUAAAGAGUUGCGUAGGUGGCCUAAUAAGUAGCUAGUGAAAUCUGGUGGCUCAACCAUUCAGACUAUUAGCUAAACUGUUAAGCUCGAGACCGUUAGGGGUAACUGGAAUUUCUGGUGUAGGAGUGAAAUCCGUAGAUAUUAGAAGGAACACCAAUAGCGUAGGCAGGUUGCUGGGACGGUUCUGACACUAAGGCACGAAAGCGUAGGGAGCAAACGGGAUUAGAUACCCCAGUAGUC
rnacentral:rRNA from 1 species